UAUACCAUGCUGAAUAUACCGGUUCUCGUUAGAUCACCGAAGUCAAGCAUCAUUGGGCGCGGUCAGUACUUGGGUGGGUGACCACCUGGGAACACCGCGUGCCGUU
rnacentral:rRNA from 1 species